CACAGUGUUCAAAUUCUGAAAAAGAUUAAUUGAACUUUCCAUAUUAUCCUCCACUGUUCCUCGCCAAAACAAACGGCGUCAAUUUCCACACUCCUCCACACCCCACCCCCCACCCAACUGCUGGGUUGAGCCACUUGAUUAUUCAGUGUGAAGUGCAUUUGGGUGAACACAAAACAAUAGGGACCCCUUGGUGUUCCAAUAUGUUUAUGGAGUUAGCCUGAAUUUCUCAAUUUUUGGGGCUUUUUUUUCAAUUUUUACAUAGAUUUUCUCAUACUUUUCGCCAAUUUUGCCAUUAAAAAAAUGCUACCUGACAGCCUACAAGGAGGCCUACGCCUGCCUAAUUACCUGCAAAUAAAAAAAUAAGGCGCCUGAAGACCUGAAAACGUGAAUCAUCGAUUUGAAACACUUUCAUAAAAAUUAUUUUCCAGCGAUUUUCUUUUUUUUUCAAAGAAUUUCGCCCAUUUUCAUAGACGUUCAAUGUCUCCUUUAUGUCUCCUCAUAAAAUAUAUUCAAAUUUGCAUAUUGAAAUGGCAAUUUGAAUUUCCACCAAAAAAUCAAUUUCAACUGCCACGAGGAGCUAUUUUUCCCCCAUUUUCCUAUUUACAACACACAUACACAUUGUUUUGUUCGAUAUCACAAAAAAGUAAGAAAAAGAGCAGUUGUUGUGCUCCGGGGCCACCGCCACGUCAUAUUGGCCUGUCACUUUGUGAUGGGCAUGUGUUGCACUUCACAUCACGGUGCUUCUUCUAUUGUUUUAUUUUUUAUUAGUGCAAGUAUUUGGAAUUAUCUGAAAUUGUGAAUUUUUUUAAAUUUUGUUUUGGAUAUUUCUAGUUUUGAUUUUUUUGCCAGUUAUUCUCAAUUGUCAAAUUUUAGGAAAAAUGUGAUUUUUUUUUGAUUAUUUAGAAUGGUUACUUUUCAUUAUUAGACAGAGUUCAAAUAUUCAAGUGGUACUCACCACAGGCAGGCAUAGAUAUAGGUUUAGGUAUAGGUAUAGGUAUAGGUAUAGGUAUAGGUAUAGGUAUAGGUGUAGGUAUAGGUAUAGGUAUAGGUAUAGGUAUAGGUAUAGGUAUAGGUAUAGGUAUAGGUAUAGGUAUAGGUAUAGGUAUAGGUAUAGGUAUAGGUAUAGGUAUAGGUAUAGGUAUAGGCAUAGGUAUAGGUGUAUGUAUAUGUCACUCACUUGCGCGAGAGUUCAACGACCGUUUCUUUGAUUUUCGCAAAAUUGAAAAAUCAUAAUUAGUUUAGAAAUUUUUUUUAAUUUUCAACAGCUUAUUGCAGUAUAUUUCCUGUCAUUUAGAGCAAAAAAAUAGGCGAAAUUCAAAAAAAAAAUCAUAAAAACAUAGAAAAUUGCAUUACAGAAAUUCGAGAAUUUUUUUUUCAAAAUUCGUCACUUUGUUUCACAAUUCUAGUUUUAUUAUUCCCAUGAUUGACACCUCAUCCUCGACAGAAAAAAAUAUAUAUACAUUUGAAAAUAAUUGUAGUGUGACUAUUUUGAAUUUUCACUUCAUGGCAACAACAGUAAUUACUCACGGGGAACACAUGUCAGAUCCUUUUUUUUGCUUCUCUGCGUCUCUUUCUCUCUAGAAGCUUCCUGUUCUUUUUUUUUGUGAUCUGCUGGAUUUUUUCUUUUAUUUCUCUGAAAAAUUUUGCAAUUCUUUAUAGGUUGUUGGCAAAUUUUUUACUUGAGUUGUAGAUUUUUGAACUCUGAUUUUGGCAUUUUUUUAAUAAAUAAAUUAAAGUUC
ensembl:lincRNA linc-164 ncRNA